rnacentral:misc_RNA from 1 species
GAGAGAGAGAGAGAGAGAAGAAAACUGGUGGUUUCCCUUCUUCUCGAUCGAUAGUUGGUUGCUGAGAAACUACAUUGGUUUACAGAAUCUUUGAACAGAAACAUUGAAUCCCACAAAAACAGAUGUCAGAUCAGUUUGCCGUUUUGCGUGUAAACUUGGAUUAGUUUUUCUGUUCGUCAGUCUUUUUCAUGGUAUGCCUAUUUGUUACAACCCUUUUACGCGAAAGAAAAUUCUCUCCUUUGAUUUCUCUUCGACAUUAAUUUUAACCACUGAUGAUUUGGUUGUUAUUUGAUUUAUUUUUCUUGUAUACUUUUUCUAUGCCACAAAAUCCAAUUUUUGGUAGACUACAAUGAAGCUUUAUAGAAUAUAACUAAAUGAGUUUUUCUGUUUCCCUUUUCUUUUCUUAACUAUAUGAGUUUUUCUUUUUCCCUUUUCUUUUCUUUCUUGUUCUUUAGCUUAAUUGGUAAAGUUAGAUUGAUUUGACUGCAGAUAGGAAUUGUAUAUCUGUUUGAGCAGUAGUAACAAUUGCCAGAGGAAUGAUCUUUUAAUUCUUGUAGAAGUACUUGGGUUGUAAGUCAUUGAACAGAAUUAUUCAUGUUGUAAAGGAAAUCAUAUUCACCUGUCAGUGAGAGAUACCAAAAUUUCUGAAUCACAGUCUAUUGUUGCAAUUUGUUGAUUGAUAAAAUAAAAGUUUGGUUUUUGAAGCGGCCCUUCCUGUCUUAUUGCUUCAAAAUUGUUCGAUAUGUUGGUUUGUUUAGGUUAAAGGAUCUGUUGUGCUGUGUGGCGAACCAUAAAGUUUUUGUUCAGACUAGAAAAAUAAAGAUCGGGAAAAUAUACAGUGCUUUUUGCUUAAUGGUUUUUAGAUUUGGUAAUUCUUAGUAAUUUGGGUGAUGCAGAUAUGUAUCAGGCGUGUUGAAGUUGUAGAGAAUCAACAUGCUUUCAGAAAAUAGAUAUGAUUCUUCCAAAAUAACUUUCAAAAGUAAGGCACUGGAUGUUGAAUGUGCUUCUUCUGAUGUUUUAAUCAAGCACAGAAGCAGGACAAUAUUGGCUGUUAGGGAUUUUCCUAUAGGUUGCGGUCCCUCCAAAAGAUUUUGCUCUGAAGUGUUAAAAAACUCUGUUCACUUUGAUGUGCCAGGCACAACAGAUGAUUCAAAGUCUAAAGAGAAGUUAAUUGAAUCAUUUGAUGAGAGGCAAGAGCUUGGAUUGGUGACAGAAGUUGAAUUGCUACACAAAUUUUUGCAAGAUUCUUUGGAUAAUGCAAGAUUGGUCAACCCAUUACAAAUUUCAGUUUCUGAAGCUACUAAAUUGCCAAACAAAGCUGUGCCUCGGAGAAGGAUUUCAGCUAUUCGAUCAUUCCCUCAGGGCUGUGGAAGAAUGACUCAACAAGUUGAUAAAGAAGUUGCCCCAGAAUCUGUUGCUUUAGAAACCAAUGGAUUAGGUCACUAUACACCAGAAGUUGGCAUAUUGUUAAGAAAGAAAGGAGAGGCAACUAGGAAGGAUGGUCAUCAAAAGAAUCUUGCAAGCUCUGGUAAAAUUAAUAUGUUUCAAUCAUAUUCAAAAUGCUUGGAGAUUUACCAGGGGAAACUGCAUGAGAAUGAUAUGGACAAAUGCCUUGAUGGAAAAUUAUCAGGCCAUAGCAGCAUUCAUCCAUCACAGGAAAUAGCCUCUACUCAUUUGGAGGUUCCUGGAAACCGGGUGAUAGUGCAGGCAUCGAUGGCUGCACCAAGUUGUCCUUGCAGAAAUGGGAAAUGGAGAUCCAGAUCAAAACUAACAAAUGGUGUGGCCAAAAGCAAAGAUAAGAAGCAUUAAUUUAGCACGAGGUUUUGACAGUUGCUACAAUAAUAAACCACUAUUUUUCUGUGGAAAUUUGUGGCCCGAACAUCACAGAGUUAACUCUACUAAAUGAUAGACUCUUAUGAGUUUGCCUGUAAAAUUUGCCUUCUAUGCAACUGCUUUCUCCAGGAAUGCACCAUCUAAUGUUGAACUGCUAAAACUAGAUUCUCUCAUAUCAGCAGCUGUGAAAUUGGCUCUUCUGUAUCAGCCAUUGAGAUUUAUAAGCACAAAAAUGCAUUAGCUCAUUUAGUCAUUUAUAAACUUCAGUCAAGUAGAAUUAACAUUUUUGGCACAAUCCAAAAUCAUUCCUUUUUUUUGUACUCUCUUUCUCUCUCUUUACAGUACUCAAUUGAAAAAUAUAUUGAUGCAAAUUUCCUUU